CGGCGGACGGGNGAGUAACACGUGGGUAACCUACCUAUAAGACUGGGACAACUUCGGGAAACCGGAGCUAAUACCGGAUAAGAUAUCGAACCGCAUGGUUCGAUAGUGAAAGAUGGUUUUGCUAUCACUUAUAGAUGGACCCGCGCCGUAUUAGCUAGUUGGUGAGGUAACGGCUCACCAAGGCAACGAUACGUAGCCGACCUGAGAGGGUGAUCGGCCACACUGGAACUGAGACACGGUCCAGACUCCUACGGGAGGCAGCAGC
rnacentral:rRNA from 1 species